CCUACGGGAGGCAGCAGUGGGGAAUAUUGGACAAUGGGGGGAACCCUGAUCCAGCCAUGCCGCGUGUGUGAAGAAGGCCCUCGGGUUGUAAAGCACUUUCAGUGAGGAAGAACGCCUGGUGGUUAAUACCCAUCAGGAAAGACAUCACUCACAGAAGAAGCACCGGCUAACUCCGUGCCAGCAGCCGCGGUAAUACGGAGGGUGUGAGCGUUAAUCGGAAUUACUGGGCGUAAAGCGCGCGUAGGUGGCUUGAUAAGCCGGUUGUGAAAGCCCCGGGCUCAACCUGGGAACGGCAUCCGGAACUGUCAAGCUAGAGUGCAGGAGAGGAAGGUAGAAUUCCCGGUGUAGCGGUGAAAUGCGUAGAGAUCGGGAGGAAUACCAGUGGCGAAGGCGGCCUUCUGGACUGACACUGACACUGAGGUGCGAAAGCGUGGGUAGCAAACAGGAUUAGAUACCCCAGUAGUC
rnacentral:rRNA from 1 species